rnacentral:rRNA from 1 species
AUACGGAGGGAGCAAGCGUUGUUCGGAAUUACUGGGCGUAAAGGGCGCGUAGGCGGCCAAGUCAGUCAGGCGUGAAAGCCCAGGGCUCAACCCUGGAAUUGCGUUUGAUACUGCUAGGCUCGAGACCGGAAGAGGGUAGUGGAAUUCCCAGUGUAGAGGUGAAAUUCGUAGAUAUUGGGAAGAACACCAGUGGCGAAGGCGGCUACCUGGUCCGGUUCUGACGCUGAGGCGCGAAAGCGUGGGGAGCAAACAGGAUUAGAAACCCUAGUAGUCC